UGGGAGCCUCCAGGCUGCAGAGUCAGAAGUCAGCCCAGCUGAGAGUCCUGGCCCUGGCCAAGGAAGAUGGCAUUUUUUAGUGAAGGCCUGCCCCUGCCCAGGAACAUCUAGCUCAGCUUCCUAGGCAGCUGAAAGUACACAGACAGCAAUGCCAGAGUCUGGCUCAACUGGCAGCAUUGAGGAGCCAACCUGUGGAGGACACUUCAACCCCCAGGAAUAGUGGUGACCAUGUGCCCAUGGUGAAGCUGCAGAACACGCUACCAUCUGCCCAAAUAGAAGGGACACUGUGAGGUGGAGGAAGAGAAGAGGAGGGAGGAGUAGAAAGAGGAAAAGGAG